CGGGCCGCGCGGCAGCCGGGACCUGCGCGCGCCGCCGCCUCGGGGCCGCCGCCAUCGCUCUCGACCCUCUGGGGCCUCACCUGCCCUCGGCCCUCGCCGCCAUUGCCCUCACCACCCUCGUCCCACUGGGGCCUCGCCGCCAUUGCCCUUGCCGCCCUCGCUGCCAUCACCCUCGCCACCCUCAGCCCUCACCGCCAUCGCCCUCGUCCCUCGCCGCCAUUGCCCUCGCUGCCCUCGUCCCUCCAGGCCCUCGCCACCAUCACCCUUGCCGCCAUCAUCUCUCCAGGGCCUCGCCACCCUCAUCCCCCGCCGCCAUUGCCCUCACCCCUGUCAUAUUUCCGGGGCCUCGCCGCCAUCGCCCUCACCGCCCUCGUCCCUCUGGGGCCUCGCCGCCCUUGUCCCUCGCUGCCAUCGCCCUCACCGCCCUCGUCCCUCUGGGGCCUCACCGCCCUCGUCCCUCGCCGCCAUCGCCCUCACUGUCCUCGUCCCUCCGGGGCCCGGCCGCCCUCAGCCCUCACCGCCAUCACCCUCGUCCCUCCAGACCCUCACCGCCCUCAUCCCUUGCCACCAUUGCCCUCACUGCCAUCAUCCUUCCGGGGCCUCGCCGCCAUCACCCUCACCGGCCUCGUCCCUCUGGGGCCUCGCCGCCAUUGCCCUCACCGCCCUCGUCCCUCACCGCCCUCGUCCCUCUGGGGCCUCGCCGCCCUUGUCCCUCGCCGCCAUUGCCCUCACCACCCUCGUCCCUCUGGGGCCUCGCUGCCCUCGUCCCUCGCCGCCAUUGCCCUCACCGCCCUCGUCCCUCGCCGCCAUCACCUUUGCUGCCCACGGCCUCAGGCAAAAGCAGCGCGUCUCUCUGCCAUGCGUGGCGCUUCUGGUGGGGGCCGGGGCGGCGUUUUGGGCCGCGUCCUCGGGCGGGCUGGGCACAGGCAGCGACAGCUGCAGGGCCUGCGCGGGAGGAGAGCCGGCGAAGCCAAGCAGGCGAAGGCCGCGCGCUGCUCGCCUGCCCGCAGCCGCCCCGCUGAAAGGCGCCCGGCCGAAAGGUGCUUGUCGCGGCCGUGCGGGGACGGCUCUCGGCGGCCGGCCACAGAGCGCGGGAGGCUGCUGGGGCGCUCGCCGCAGGCGCGGGGUCCUCCCGCCCUCACCUUGAGGAACCGGGUUUCGAGACAGGCUUCCUCUCGCCCGCCGCAAUUAGCAGCCCUGCGCGCUGGCCUCAAAGCGCCGUGGCACGCGGCGGUUAAUUAG
rnacentral:lncRNA from 1 species